rnacentral:rRNA from 1 species
CAUUUUCUGCCACCGAAUACAUUAGCAUGGGAUAAUGGAAUAGGACCCUGUCCUCCUAUUUUCAGUUGGUUUUGGCAGCGCGAGGACUAGGGUAAUGAUUAAUAGGGAUAGUUGGGGGCAUUAAUAUUUAAUUGUCAGAGGUGAAAUUCUUGGAUUUAUGAAAGAUUAACUUCUGCGAAAGCAUCUGCCAAGGAUGUUUUCAUUAAUCAAGAACGAAAGUUAGGGGAUCGAAGACGAUCAGAUACCGUCGUAGUCUUAACCAUAAACGAUGCCGACCAGCGAUUAGGAGACGUUGAAUACAAAACACCACCAUCGGUUGCGGUCGUCCUUGGCGUCUCGGUUUCGGCCGGGGCGCGGGGACGGUUUAGCCCGGUGGCACCGG